ACGAGCGCACCCUUGUCACUAAUUGCUAUCAUUUUUAAUGAGCACUUUAGUGAGACUGCCGGUGACAAACCGGAGGAAGGUGGGGAUGACGUCAAGUCCUCAUGGCCCUUAUGGGUAGGGCUUCACACGUAAUACAAUGGCGUGUACAGAGGGUUGCCAACCCGCGAGGGGGAGCCAAUCUCAGAAAGCACGUCGUAGUCCGGAUCGGAGUCUGCAACUCGACUCCGUGAAGUCGGAAUCGCUAGUAAUCGCGGAUCAGCAUGCCGCGGUGAAUACGUUC
rnacentral:rRNA from 1 species